rnacentral:rRNA from 1 species
GAACUGCGCGAACGUUAUUCGGAAUCACUGGGCUUAAAGAGUCCGUAGGCGGCUCGGUAGGUGAGGUGUGAAAUCCCACGGCUCAACCGUGGAAUAGCGCUUCAAACCACCGGGCUUGAGGGAGAUAGAGGAGAGCGGAACUGAUGGUGGAGCGGUGAAAUGCGUUGAUAUCAUCAGGAACACCGGUGGCGAAAGCGGCUCUCUGGGUCUCUUCUGACGCUGAGGGACGAAAGCUAGGGAGCGAACGGGGAUUAGAUACCCCGGUAGUCCUAGCCGUAAACGAUGAGCACUAGAUCGAGGGGACCCCCCCACAUCCUCUUGGUCGUAGCGAAAGUGUUAAGUGCUCCGCCUGGGGGAGUAUGGUCGCAAAGGCUGA